rnacentral:rRNA from 1 species
UACGUAGGUGGCAAGCGUUGUCCGGAAUUAUUGGGCGUAAAGCGCGCGCAGGCGGUCCUUUAAGUCUGAUGUGAAAGCCCACGGCUCAACCGUGGAGGGUCAUUGGAAACUGGGGGACUUGAGUGCAGAAGAGGAGAGUGGAAUUCCACGUGUAGCGGUGAAAUGCGUAGAGAUGUGGAGGAACACCUGCGGCGAAGGCGGGUAGCUGGGCCGACACUGACGCUGAGGCGCGAAAGCCAGGGGAGCAAACGGG